rnacentral:rRNA from 1 species
CCUACGGGAGGCAGCAGUGGGGAAUAUUGCACAAUGGGGGAAAGUCUGAUGCAGCGACGCCGCGUGAGUGAAGAAGGAAUUCGGUAUGUAAAGCUCUAUCAGCAGGGAAGAAAAUGACGGUACCUGAGUCAGAAGCCCCGGCUAACUACGUGCCAGCAGCCGCGGUAAUACGUAGGGGGCAAGCGUGAUCCGGAUUUAUUGGGUGUAAAGGGAGCGUAGACGGCAGUGCAAGUCUGGAGUGAAAGGCGGGGGCUCAACCCACGGACUGCUCUGGAAACUGUACGGCUGGAGUGCAGGAGAGGUAAGUGGAAUUCCGAGUGUAGCGGUGAAAUGCGUAGAUAUUAGGAGGAACACCAGUGGCGAAGGCGGCUUACUGGACUGUAACUGACGUUGAGGCUCGAAAGCGUGGGGAGCAAACAGGAUUAGAUACCCGGGUAGUC